rnacentral:snoRNA from 13 species
CUUAGGAGCCAGUGAUGUUUUUAUUCAUAAUGUCUGAACCUAUCUGAAGCAUCGCCAUGAUGCAACAUCUGUUACUGAGGCUUCUUUGGCA